ensembl:lncRNA
UCUUGCUGCAGAAGUCCCUGUCAGGGCCUUCAGUGCACCACACAUCAUUAAUUUCCCUAACCAGCCUCACCUGGGGCCUCCACCCAGGACCUUCGCUCAAUGUAUCCAAGCUGAGUCACUCCUCUUCUGAGCUGUUGCAGCGAAGUUGAUCCAUCUCCUUUCUGUGUGCUCUUCAUUCUUUUUGAGCUCACCAGGGCUUUUGCACAGCAGCUGUUUCCAUCUGAACUACAGAUUAAGAAAGGGAAGGACAACAAAGAUGAAUAAUGGACUGGAGUACGUCUUCUGUUGGGAGAGGCUGAUGGAUUUUGGACUGUUCAGCCUCGAUGAGAGGAGGCUCAGGAGGAUCUUACCAAUGUCUGUAAAUACAUGAAGGAAGAGCAUAAAGAUGAUGGAGCCAGGACAAGAGCACAUUUUUGUGAAACAAAGCGCCUUCACUUUUUUCUGCUGUUGUAAUUGAUUCCUAAGAGAUCAUGACUGCUAACAAAAUUUAAAAAAAUUCCUAGGAGUUAGUCUGUUAGGUUUCCUUUAAUAAUAUGUUUACAGAGGGAGAGGGAGUGAGAGAAAGACAGAGACUUUUUUUUUUCAUACAGUUCAAGCCACUUUUCGUGUUCUCAAGAAUCAAUAUGACAAAAUUCUGUGUGCACCAAUGAAAUCUGGAAUGACAGAAUGGGGACACAGGAAUAUUACUUUCUUACGAGUAUGAGACUGAAGUCUCUAGACUGAAGUAUCAUACUUGGUAAAUGAAGAAGUUGCUUGUGUAUACUUGAUCUGUAUCUUGCUGAUCUGGUAUCUUGUGGUUAUGGACUUUAUAGCUAGCAUGUUUAAAAUUUUCACUCGAGCUUCAUCUUUAAAUUCUGGUGCUUUAUGUUGUAAUGAUUGUGCUUUAAACCCUUUUAAAAAUAUAGACAGUAAAUAAAGAAUGCAGCCUUCACUAAAAUAAAGGGUCUCUGAAAGUUCUAAUGAACAAAUAAACGUGCCCUCCCUAGAUCACGUGGCUUUGAGUUGCAGGAGGAAUCUUUGCUUCCAAGGAUUUGUUUUUCUGGGAUGGAGGGAGUUGACCCCGAAAACUCUUUAGGGAUUUAAAUGAAAAGUGGUGUCAUUUCUGCUGCAUCAGCCACUUUAACUGAUGUGCUGUUUCUACUUGCUACUGGAUAACUUGUGAAAUACCUGCACCUCUGUGGCCUAACUCAGGUGUAUGUUGUCAAUGACUGGCUAUAUGCAUUUUUGUAUUUGCUUGCAUUCCCUUGAUCCUACAAUUUCACAAAGGUGCUGCACUAGAACUGAGUGAAAACCACAGUGUGAAGACUCUUCUGGUAGGACAAGCAAUUUCAUGGGGUUGGUUUAUCUUUUUUUUUCAUGGCAAAGGUUAUAGCACAAAACAAAAACGGUCCUCUGAAAAUCACAAGCUCCGAAUCUCCACCUGUAGUACACAGAUCACUCUUAACCUUCGUGUUCUGGAUAGCAUUAAUAUUGAUUAUAAGAAUGCAGUGUUAAUAAUUUAAAACUAGAUUUAAAGUUAAUAAUAAAACUGAAAUUAUAACUUCAUAUCUGGAGAGGGGAAGACAGGCAAGUUAAGAAGCAGAAGAGUGUCAACAAGAAAAGAGAUCUGGGCAGACAGCAGGUCUGAGUAAUGAACUGCUGCUUUUUCAGCUGCUCCUAGAUAUUAUUCCAUGUUUCUUCAAGCUCACCUUUUAAAGAUUGUUGCAGAACGUGAUUUUCUUAGGAGUAUCAGAGGGGCUUUGUGAUUGUGGUGGCUUUUCUGAAUGUUCUGCUGAAAAAAGGCCCCACUUCAUGGGUAGAUGCUGACUGUGUGUUUCUUGAUAGAAAAUGAUUACUGAAGACGCAAUCAAGACUAUUCUAGAGCCAAGGUAAAACCUGAAAACAGACCUGUUCAUGUGCCCAACAAUUUCUUUCAUCUUGGUUGUGGUACUAGUAUGUCUUCAUGAGAGUCUUUACCUUGUGGAACACAUUCGAGGUAGAAAUAGUUCUUGAAUUUAGCCUGGCUAUAUGAUGGAAUAUUUUGGGUGGUACAUCACACGAGUUGGCUGUUGUGAAGCCUGUAAAGUACUCUCUGCUACUCUAUCCUGCAUUUUAGUAAUACUUUCCAGAUGCAGAGAAUCCUUUUUUUGAUUUAGAAGGAAUGUGUGGUUGAUACUGGUAAGAAGAGCUGGUGGAACAUUUCUGUUAUAUCCUGUGGUUCAAUGCAUUAAAUAUUGAUGUUGG